UUGAAUAGCCUUUAAAAACACUUCAAAGUGACUCUGACAUAAUGUGGACUCCAUGGGGAACUCAAGCAGGAGGAAAGGUUAUGUUUAAAAAUUCUGCUGAUAACAAGGUAUAAGGUAUUACACCUGAGAGUUGCUGGAUUCCAAUGUGUUAGAACUGGCUUCACACCUAACUGCCCUUGUUAAGAAGCAAUUUUGAAGUGCUAAUGUUGUGCCAAGCAACUAGCCUGAACAUGAGGUCCCACCCACAUCCACUAGAGAGGAGGCACAUUUGUUCCUGGACUCUAUUGUCUUCAGUGCUUGUAUGCUCAAACAAAUACAACCAACCUCUAUGCAAACUGCCUUGUCAAAGGGAGCUAGGAAAUGGAUUAUUUCUAUUUCUCAUGUUCCCAGAUGAAUGUCUUCUUUCUUCCAACUAUGUGCAUGUUGGUCCCCUGCCUCCUUGUGACUACAAAUACUCCUCUCUACAUUGGAACCUGGAAUUGAAUAAUAUGCAAUGGAAUUGCCAAACAUCACUUGGACCUGUGCCCAGUAUUACCUCAAGAGUCUUCUGUAAUAUCUUUUUGAUGAUGGAGUCAAUAUCCUUAUUAUCUCUGGUUGCUGAGUGUUGCUAGUGCCAUAACUAUUGCUGCUACUACUACUGUCUUCAAGACCCACUGUCUAUGAUGUACUCUCAAAUAAUCUUCACCCUAAGUUCUGCAGAUGCCUCUGUCUUCCUAAGUAGUUUAUGGCUUAAAAAUGACUCACAUUGACUUUUUGUUUGAUAUUACAUUCAUAAUUCAGUUUGAUGUAUUUUUUUAAGUUUGGAGAAAUAUAUUGGGAGAGCUUGACAAAAAUACUUGCUUCAUUGUACCAUCUUAACUCUAUUCCUCCCCUUCCUACUCUAAGACUUAGAUAUUUACUACUUAUUGUUUUAAAGAAAAGCUCAAUUCAUUACUGUUUUCUGGUGUUUUUUUUAUUAUUUUUAAAUUUUUAUUUAUUUUGUCAAAACACUGAAUCUAUUGAAAUAAUAAUAUGAUUUUUUGUUAUUGAUGUAGUCAAUUAUGCUUAAAGUUUUCUUAAUGUUGAAUUAACUCUUCUUUUCUUUGUAUAAAUCCAACUUGAUCAUGGUGUAGAAUUUUUUAAAAUAUAAUAUUGAACUAGCAUUGAAUUUAAAAUGAUUACAUCAAUAUUCAUUAAGUAAAUUGGUCUUUAUUUUCUUUCUCUGCUUUGGCUUUCCUUGGUUUAGAUAUCAAGACCAUAUUUGUGCCAUAGAAGGAAUGUGACAUGAAUACUUCUAACUAAUUUUUCAAAUUCUUUGUGUAGUGUUGGAAAUAAUCAUUCUUUAAAUGUUUGAUGGAAUUCACUUGUAAAUCCAUUUGGUCCUGAGUUUUUUCUUUCUUUGAAGAGCUCAUUUAUGCCUGUUCAUUCAUUUCUUUCUUAGAUAGGGCUAUUUUGAGUAUUCUAUUCCCUGUUUUGUUAAUCUGGGAAAUUUAUCCUUUUGUAGAUAUUCAUUCAUUUCAUUGAGAUUUUCUAUUUUAUUUGAAUAUAGUUAAGCGAAAUAACUUCUGAUAAUUGCUUUUAUUACAUCUUCAUUGUUUAUGGAUUUGCCCUUUCCUUUUUGAUAAUGGAAAUUAGGGUUUCUUCUUUUGGAAAAAUAAUAAAAUUAGUUAAUGAUUUAUCUAUUUUACUGAU
ensembl:lncRNA